UAGGGAAUCUUCGGCAAUGGGGGCAACCCUGACCGAGCAACGCCGCGUGAGUGAAGAAGGUUUUCGGAUCGUAAAGCUCUGUUGUAAGUCAAGAACGAGUGUGAGAGUGGAAAGUUCACACUGUGACGGUAGCUUACCAGAAAGGGACGGCUAACUACGUGCCAGCAGCCGCGGUAAUACGUAGGUCCCGAGCGUUGUCCGGAUUUAUUGGGCGUAAAGCGAGCGCAGGCGGUUAGAUAAGUCUGAAGUUAAAGGCUGUGGCUUAACCAUAGUACGCUUUGGAAACUGUUUAACUUGAGUGCAGAAGGGGAGAGUGGAAUUCCAUGUGUAGCGGUGAAAUGCGUAGAUAUAUGGAGGAACACCGGUGGCGAAAGCGGCUCUCUGGUCUGUAACUGACGCUGAGGCUCGAAAGCGUGGGGAGCAAACAGGAUUAGAUACCCUGGUAGUCCACGCCGUAAACGAUGAGUGCUAGGUGUUGGGUCCUUUCCGGGACUCAGUGCCGAAGCUAACGCAUUAAGCACUCCGCCUGGGGAGUACGACCGCAAGGUUG
rnacentral:rRNA from 1 species